AUGGGGAUAAAGACAGAGAAAUCCAUAACAUUUAGAGGCAAACAGACGCACAGUGCAAACUUCGGAGAUGGUUACAUCCACAAAGAAGACCCCGACAAAGAGAAAGUGUGCCCGAACGACUUAUUUCAUUGGAGGCAUCAAGAUCUGCAAGAAUACUUUUCUGUUUCUUAUGAGGUCUUUCUUGGAUGGGGAUUUACUUUGGAAUGGAGCUCCUCUCUUUCAUCACGUCAACUAAUUUCUGACAUCUGUGUCCUUCCUCAGAGAAGUGGAGGGGUGCCAGCAGUUGUGUUUUACACCACACUGCCCCAAAUAAUCUAUCAGUCUCCUGUCGUGACACACAUCAUCACAUGGUCACAGAAUAGAGGCCAAAUGCCCUCAUCUCUCCAUUUCUCUCUGUCUCUUUCACAUAUAAACACAACAUGGUAAAUCCUGGAAUCUUCCUUAAUUUUGUUGCAUAUACUACAUUUAUUAAAAAAUGUCAACAAUGGUCUUUGGAUGUGUUUACCCACCAUAGCGCAGCCAGCAACUGUUGUAUAUACAGUGCACAGCAUAAAAGAGAACACCCCAAUUUCAGCAAUUACACUCUUCUUAGAAGACCGCUUGAUCAGUUACCAAAGAAGAAUGCCAAAUUAUUCAUCAAAAUAAGACUUUCUUGUCAAAGUGUUAAAAUGUUGUGUUACAAAAUGAAUACACCUUCCUGAAAGUUACUAAAUAAUUAUAAUAAUAAAUGUAUAGGUUUAAGGCUAUUUCUGAUCAACAAACAAUAGUCUGCACAUGACCUGGUAUUUUAUUCGGACCCAGAAGAAGAGAUGAACAUCACAGAGCACUAAACACUCUCAUGCAGAUUGUGUUUCAUUCAUACUCAAAGCCAGAUGGUGCUCUCACGCAGAAAGUUAUAACGGGAAACUCCUAAUAUGGGCAACAGCGUCCAGCUAUCUCUGUAUAAAAACAGUUGUCUUCACAGAAAAACAGACACUUUUGGAAACACAAAGACAUUAAACAUACGAUUGCAACAAAAUAUAUGCUUUUUCAAGUCAUCUUCAGCAGGUGAUAAAUAAAGUAUAUGAACAAAUGCUAUUAUUCUAUUCUGCCUUAUUAUGUGAUAAAAAUGUUUGUAGUUUAUAAAAAAAUCAUUAUUAUUUAUUAUUGUCCAGCAGUUAUAGAUUUCUAAGCCAAUUAAAAGCUAGAAAUUAGAGAAUUUUUUUAUCAUCUCAGAAACUCAAAUCCCUACCUUGUCUGAAAAACCAGUAAAAAGCCUGGGAAAGAUCUUCGACAGCAGCCUCAAGGAUACAACAUCCAUCAAAAACACCUGCGAGGAGCAGGAGGGGUGGCUGAAGAAGGUUGACAAAACUGGGCUCCCUGGAAAAUCUAAGGCAUGGGUGUACCAACAUGGGAUUCUGCCAAGGAUACUGUGGCCUCUGCUGCUGUACGAGUUUCCGGUUUCCACCAUCUCAGAAAUAAAAAGGACAGUCAGCUGGUACUUAAAGGCCAUGUUGCAGGUUAAACACCACUUUCAAAUAAUGGGUACAUAAAUCACUCAAGAUAUGUAUAUCAUUUUUAAAAUGUCUCAAAAAUGGUCUUAAAGUUUUUGGUAUUAACGUUUUUUUUUAUGCAACUCGGUGAUGACGUCAUGUUGGGGAGAAGUCGAGGAAAGGUAGAAACAACGAUGACAGCCCAUACGAAUAAUACUGCCUGCGGAUGCAGUGUUUAUGCAAGUAGUACACGUUGAAAAAAUGAUUUUAGGUCAAUCCAACGUUGCAAUAAAAUAAAUAAUCUAGUUACAAUUCCUUGCGGUCAGAAAGUUUGGCGUAACUUGCCUGGAACGGUACAAAGUCGUUAGUAGUGGUAUGAAAUAGUGAUUACGAGCUCAAAAGCCUGCCUGGAACGCAGCAUCAGAACUAUAGCGAAUGACUGGGAUGAGGAAGAGGUGGCGAGAGCAAACAUGUAUGAUGGCCCGCAGCUGUGUAAUUUUGUUCGAGCCAGCCGUGAGAGGGCAAAUGAGGAAUUGCCAAGAACUGAUGUCCGUCAAAGCCUAUGGAUGGUCCGAGGAGA
rnacentral:lncRNA from 1 species